rnacentral:rRNA from 1 species
CAGUCGCCGCGGUAAUACGAAGGGGGCUAGCGUUGUUCGGAAUUACUGGGCGUAAAGCGCACGUAGGCGGCUUGGUAAGUUAGAGGUGAAAGCCCGGAGCUCAACUCCGGAAUUGCCUUUAAGACUGCCGAGCUAGCAGGUGAGAGAGGUAAGUGGAAUUCCGAGUGUAGAGGUGAAAUUCGUAGAUAUUCGGAAGAACACCAGUGGCGAAGGCGGCUUACUGGCUCAUACUGGACGCUGAGGUGCGAAAGCGUGGGGAGCAAACAGGAUUAGAUACCCCGGUAGUCCCUGUCUCUAUACA